rnacentral:rRNA from 1 species
UACGUAGGGGGCAAGCGUUUGUCCGGAUUUAUUGGGCGUAAAGAGCGUGUAGGCGGCCUGAAAGGUCAGCUGUGAAAACUCGAGGCUCAACCUCGAGACGUCGGUUGAAACCAUUCUGGCUAGAGUCCGGUAGGGGAGACUGGAAUUCCUGGUGUAGCGGUGAAAUGCGCAGAUAUCAGGAGGAACACCGAUGGCGAAGGCAGGUCACUGGGCCGCAACUGACGCUGAGGAGCGAAAGCAUGGGGGAGCGAACAGG